rnacentral:rRNA from 1 species
UGGGGAAUAUUGCACAAUGGGCGAAAGCCUGAUGCAGCAACGCCGCGUGAAGGAAGAAGGCCUUCGGGUCGUAAACUUCUGUCCUUGGGGAAGAAGAACUGACGGUACCCAAGGAGGAAGCCCCGGCUAACUACGUGCCAGCAGCCGCGGUAAUACGUAGGGGGCAAGCGUUAUCCGGAAUUAUUGGGCGUAAAGAGUACGUAGGUGGCAACCUAAGCGCAGGGUUUAAGGCAAUGGCUCAACCAUUGUUCGCCCUGCGAACUGGGAUGCUUGAGUGCAGGAGAGGAAAGCGGAAUUCCUAGU